rnacentral:lncRNA from 1 species
CACCCCCUCCCACCCCCAAACCACCAGGCCUAUACUCCAUCCUCUGCCCUAGCCAGUGGGCUGAGGUGGCCUUUUGCCAGAGCGUGAGACCAUUACAGCCACACACACAUACAAACACGCAUGUACAUGGUGGCUUUGUGUUGCUCCCUCCUGGUGUCCUCAGCUUCUGGAUCAACAACACAGUAACUAGUGUUGGAGCUGGAGAAGGAGGAUGGGGCCACCGUGGCUAGUGAGGGGAGUGAGAAGAGCUUGGAUGGGGGUGGAGAUGCAAGCAUUGUUCCUUUUUCUCUCAGCAGGGCUGCUGACCCUGACUCAUUCUACCCCUUGAGGAAGGUCCUUAGCGGUCUAGAGCUCUUGAGAAUCCUAUAUGCCCCUUGGAAAAGGAUUUUGGAGUGUUAGCCAGAAAGAAGAGGUCAUAGAAAUGUUUUAUUCAUUCAGUCAGUAAAUAUUUACUAAGUGCCUACUAUACGCCAGGUCCCUGUGUUAGGUGCUAGAAACAUCCUCUAUCUCCUGGUCCAAGCACAUAACACUUUGCUCCAGCCUCAGCCUAAAACAUUUUGUCCCCAGGGCCUUGUUCCAUGGCACCUGCAUCAGCCUGAGCCUCACCCUUUCCCACCUACCUCCUCCUGACUCAGGGCUACCUUCCCCAGCUGCAGAGUACCUUUCCUAGUGAGCAAAGAAGACCCUGCAAGAAAGAGCCUGAGGGAUAGACAUAAGGAUGGAGAAAAGGCCAGUUUCACCCAACUGCAGACCUCCAGGGAGUCUCAAAGACAUGCUCUAAAGGGUCUGGGCUAAGAGAUUUCCUUUAGAUUCAGGGAUAAGAUGGCUACACCUUCUGAACCUAGUUCGUUCCUUCCUUCUUUCCCAUGUUUGGACCAAGGAAUCGGAUCAGAUUUUUAUCAGAAUAUCUACUUGGAUUUAAGAGUCUUCAUUUGUUUAUUUAUUCAUUUACCCCUUUACCAUGUGCUUAUCCAUCCAUCCAUCCAUUCAACCAUUCACUCACUUAUUUUUUUAGGACCUACUCUGUGCCAGGCACUGGGGAGAGAGGGAUGGAUAUGGCAUGAUCAUUGGUCUCUGUGAGCCUAUUCUUUGGUCCCCAGGGUGUCUCUGUCAGCCUCAGCUACUUUCUCAGAACCCAGAUCUUCCUUCUCGCCCCUCACAUAGGGACCAGACUCCAACUGAGGAGGUCUCCCAGUGGGUAACUAGAAAUCCUGAACCAGAGGCCACUGAUAAUCAGGGACAGCCAGGAUGGAGGCUAGCCUAGUGGUUGGAGGGAUGAGGAAGGCAUUCAGCCAGGCCACUGAGCCCAUCACUGUGGCUUGGCUCCUUUGGUGAAAAAAAUAGCAAGUUUGGACAAGUGUCUCCCUGUGUCCUGAGCUCUGAGUUGCUCCCAGACAGGAGUCGCUCCCUUAGACAAACCACAGCCAAGGGCAACAGGGGCCCAGAGAGGACUAGAAGGGGGAGUAGGAACAUGGGGCUCAGGACAUGUCCAACACAGGCACAAUGGUGUAAGUGAGCCCUGCUGGCUGGGUCGGAGGUAUGAGCGUGUAUCGCGGGAGCUGCAGGUGAGGCAGAGGAAAGAGAAGCCAUGCUCAGGCUCACAGACAAGGAGAAGACGGACGCACAUAGUAUAAAACUGAGACAGCUACACAGCAAAUAGGGGCAGCUCUCUAGAAUCUGUUUUAGGAACUUAGGCGAGUAUUCUUCCCCCAGAGUACCCCAGUGGCGAAUAGGAGGUUGACGAUGGGGUUGAGAAAAGAAGAUUAUGACAGAGCGCCAGAGGGUGUGUGUGUAUGCACCUAGUCAUAUAUGAGUUUGGGUCUGUGUAAUUUUCUUUCUUCUGUGUCUCCUACUUCAUUCUAAAACCAGAAGGACUCUGAGUGGUUUGGGCUUCUCCGGGCCUCUCCUCCCCUUUCCACAUGUGGCUGAGGGUGAGUUAAUGGGACCUGCACACACAGAGGCUCACACAGCCUUGGAGACAGAGGCCCAUUCAUACCAGGACACUGUGGCACCUCUCUCUCAGGCUGGCCUGCGGUCCUAGUCCUGUAGCACCAACAUGCGCAAGUGAGAGACGUGCGCCUUUGCACAUGCAACAUUGCUCUCCAGCACACACACACAAAGCCACACUCAGGCUCUGUUAACCCUUCACCACCACAUGCAGGAAGUUCUUGGCUCUGGCUUUGCCUUUCUCAAGGCCUUUUACCCAACUGUGCACCCACCUGAGUUAACCCUUGAACAACCUUCUUGGAACCCCAGGGAGCCCACAGUGGGCUUGCCUAGCCUCCCAGUGCCUGGGAGGGGAAGUGAAUGCAAUCUCAGCCAAAGAACAGGAUGGAGGUGUUUCCUUCCAGCAGAGGAAGAGAGAAGACUACUAAAGUCUGGGUUCAAGUGACAGCUAUGCCACCUGCAAGCUAUAAGUCCUCAGACAGUUUACUUAAUCCCUCUGGGCUUCAGUCUCUGAACUCUAAGAUGAGGAGAGGUAAACCUGAGGUCCGUAGAUAAACCUACUGAAAUUAUAUGCAAAACAUGUAGAAUUCUACAUUUUGCUGGAAAGAGGUUUCAUGAGUUCAACCAACUUCUCAUAGGUCCCUUGAACGCCCUCAAAACUUAAGGACCAGUGAACUUCUUGAACAUUCCAGGACUGUAUAUGAGUCAAGUGCUUUUUGAAGAAACUGAGGCUCAGGGAGAUUGUCAGUUCCUCAGGAUCCCUUGAACAACACUUCAUCCUCGGGCUGGAGUCUAGAAGGAACCAGAGAAUGCAGGAAGGAGCCUUCGCCCUAAGGAGUUCCGGAUGAUGGGGUCCAUUCCACUAGGGAGUGGGGAAUCAGGGACUCCUCAACUCCUUUCCCAGUCCCCUUGAAGGACACUCCCAGGACUCCCUUCCUCUCACAUUUUUGCCUUGACCCUUCGGGAUUUGGGCUCCAGCUCCUUCCUGAGGGCAGGGAUGGUGGUCCUUGUUGCAUUCCCCAAGCCCAGGAAGAAUAUGACUUCCAGCCCUGCAGGAGCCUUCAUUUCUGUGGCCUCAUUUCCUUGUCCCCCUUUGCAAGGGAGAGCAUGAAGCUGUCCCUGGGUAGGCUUGGGUCCUCCUGCUAACCUGGGCCCCACUCAUGGAGCACCUCCCUCAGGUGUCUCUGCUUAGCAGUCACCUCCUGCUCUAACACAGACUUCUUCCUACCCUAACAGCCUGGCCCAAUUUCAUAGACAAUUCUAGAGAUUUCCUUUCAGUACAGAGCAGUGUGGCCUAGGGGCCCAGGGGCCUGUGAUGGUGGGACGUUUUCAGGGCUGGGUGGUCCAAAGGUGGGCUGGAAACUACUUAGGACACCAGUAGGGCAGGG